CACACACUGUGAUUUCUCUCUCUCAAAUCCUUUCACUGCUAUGUGUGUUUCUCCAUGUCCCAACCUUAAUCCUCAUUAUCUAACCAUGCUCCUCCGCUUCAUCCCGAUUUCUUCUUCAUCCUGUUUUUUCGAAGGCAUUCUUACUGUUCCCUUCUUUCAACAUGGGCAGGUCGUGAUCUUCUCAGAGCAGUCAUAGACAAUCAGUUCGCAAUUCAGUUUCUCGUGGCCUCGUCGACUCAAGUAAAUUCAUCUCUGGUGCAAAUUUAGGGUUUCUGUUCUACAAACCCUUGAUAUGUGGUUUCUCACCGAGACUGUGCCUCUGUUCCGCGUUUACAUCCAGUGAUCCUCUCAACGUUCUUACUGGCUGCCCACCUUUUCAUUUCCAUUUUCAACCUGCAGCAAUAGAGGUUGGGGAAGGAAGCCAUUAUUUGAGAUCCCUUAAGUUUCUCUUCAAAUUAGCCAACAUAUACGUCACGCUUAUCUACAUAAGCUUGCCAUUUUAGCCGCAAGAUGUGUUCACCGUUUCAUCGAUCGAUGCUGCUCUCACCCCUAACCCUAAUUCUUCAAGCACAUAUAUUUCCCCCUAAUUUUGGAGCUGAUUGAAAGUGGCAAAGAUGGAAUCCUGUAAAUUUCUCUUCAAAUUAGGCAAUUGGAUCUAAUGACGUUAGGGACACGAUGAGACUAUUGUUCAUAUGAUCGAAAAGAAAGGGAUAUUGUGAAAGAUGAAUUCUAGCAAGGCAGUGGCUUACUGAUCUAGCUUAUGGCAUCAUCAACAGGGUAGAUGGCAAGCAAGAGUUGGUCGUGUUGCUGAGAACAAAUGCCUUUAUUUGGUAUAUAAUUGACCCUUUAAUUAGCUGCUAAGAAGGAAAGUGUGGUGCAGGGACACAUUAUGCGCAGUUGUAACAAUAGUGGAACCUUUUUGAAGACUUUUAUUAGCAUUACAUUGUUGUAUGAGUUGCAUUGCAUUUCAUUUUGAACUAAUUUAAACUAAUCUAUAUAUUUCUAUCUAUCCUUAGUCAAUACAAUUAGAAAUUUGUUCAAUGAGUAGUUUGUGCAACUAAGGUGUUUUUCUGAGUCAGGCUACCUGUGGAUUGUUUAUGAAACCCACCUUGCAUCCUGUUAUCUUUUCUUGACUUUUCUUUAGGACUCUUCCUACUACAUUGUUCUAUUACAGUACAUCAUUUUUCA